GACGUAGGGAGCGAGCGUUGUCCGGAUUUACUGGGCGUAAAGAGCGCGUAGGCGGUCUGUUAAGUGUGAAGUGAAAUCUCCAGAGCUCAACUCGGAAACCGCUUCGCAUACUGGCAGACUUGAGGAAUGCAGAGGUGAAUAGAAUUCCUGGUGUAGCGGUGAAAUGCGUAGAUAUCAGGAGGAAUACCCAUGGCGAAGGCAGUUCACUGGGCAUUAUCUGACGCUGAGGCGCGAAAGCGUGGGUAGCAAACAGG
rnacentral:rRNA from 1 species